rnacentral:rRNA from 1 species
GACGAACGCUGGCGGCGUGCCUAAUACAUGCAAGUUGAGCGCUGAAGGUUGGUACUUGUACCAACUGGAUGAGCAGCGAACGGGUGAGUAACGCGUGGGGAAUCUGCCUUUGAGCGGGGGACAACAUUUGGAAACGAAUGCUAAUACCGCAUAAAAACUUUAAACACAAGUUUUAAGUUUGAAAGAUGCAAUUGCAUCACUCAAAGAUGAUCCCGCGUUGUAUUAGCUAGUUGGUGAGGUAAAGGCUCACCAAGGCGAUGAUACAUAGCCGACCUGAGAGGGUGAUCGGCCACAUUGGGACUGAGACACGGCCCAAACUCCUACGGGAGGCAGCAGUAGGGAAUCUUCGGCAAUGGACGAAAGUCUGACCGAGCAACGCCGCGUGAGGGAAGAAGGGUUUCGGAUCGUAAAACUCUGUUGGUAGAGAAGAACGGUGGUGGGAGUGGAAAGCCCAUCAAGUGACGGUAACUACCCAGAAAGGGACGGCUAACUACGUG